AUUGAACGCUGGCGGCAGGCCUAACACAUGCAAGUCGAGCGGUAGCACAGAGAGCUUGCUCUCGGGUGACGAGCGGCGGACGGGUGAGUAAUGUCUGGGAAACUGCCUGAUGGAGGGGGAUAACUACUGGAAACGGUAGCUAAUACCGCAUAACGUCGCAAGACCAAAGUGGGGGACCUUCGGGCCUCAUGCCAUCAGAUGUGCCCAGAGGGGAUUAGCUGGUAGGUGGGGUAACGGCUCACCUAGGCGACGAUCCCUAGCUGGUCUGAGAGGAAGACCGGCGACACUGGAACUGAGACACGGUCCAGACUCCUACGGGGGGCAGCAGUGGGGAAGAUUGCACAAUGGGCGCAAGCCUGAUGCAGCCAUGCCGCGUGUGUGAAGAAGGCCUUCGGGUUGUAAAGCACUUUCAGCGGGGAGGAAGGCGGUGAGGUUAAUAACCUCACUGAUUGACGUUACCCGCAGAAGAAGCACCGGCUAACUCCGUGCCAGCAGCCGCCGCCG
rnacentral:rRNA from 1 species